rnacentral:rRNA from 1 species
UACAGAGGGUGCGAGCGUUGUCCGGAAUCACUGGGCGUAAAGGGCGCGUAGGUGGCACGACAAGUCAGUGGUGAAAGCUCGACGCUCAACGUCGAGUCGGCCACUGAUACUGUUGGGCUGGAGCACUGUAGAGGCAGAUGGAAUUCCGGGUGUAGCGGUGGAAUGCGUAGAGAUCCGGAAGAACACCGGUGGCGAAGGCGGUCUGCUGGGCAGUUGCUGACACUGAGGCGCGACAGCGUGGGGAGCAAACAGG